AGAGCCUACCAUGGUGGUAACGGGUAACGGGGUGUUAGGGCACGACACCGGAGAGGGAGCCUGAGAAACGGCUACCACAUCCAAGGAUGGCAGCAGGCGCGCAAAUUACCCAAUCCCGACACGGGGAGGUAGUGACAAUAAAUAACAAUACGGGGUUCUUUCGGAUUUCGUAAUUGGAAUGAGUACAAUUUAAAUCUCUUAACGAGGAACAAUUGGAGGGCAAGUCUGGUGCCAGCAGCCGCGGUAAUUCCAGCUCCAAUAGCGUAUAUUAAAGUUGCUGCAGUUAAAAAGCUCGUAGUUGAAUUUCGGGACCAAUAUGUCGGUCGUGCCUCGGUACGUACUGGCAUCGUUGGUUUCUCCCUUCUGACGAACCAUGAUGUCAUUUAUUUGGUGUCGUGGGGAAUCAGGACUGUUACUUUGAAAAAAUUAGAGUGUUUAAAGCAGGCUCACGCUUGAAUACAUUAGCAUGGAAUAAUGAAAUAGGACGUUUGAUUCUAUUUUGUUGGUUUCUAGGAUCGACGUAAUGAUUAAUAGGGAUAGUUGGGGGCAUUAGUAUUCAAUUGUCAGAGGUGAAAUUCUUGGAUUUAUUGAAGACUAACUACUGCGAAAGCAUUUGCCAAGGAUGUUUUCAUUAAUCAAGAACGAAAGUUAGGGGAUCGAAGACGAUCAGAUACCGUCGUAGUCUUAACCAUAAACUAUGCCGACUAGGGAUCGGAUGAUGUUAAUUUUUUAAUGACUCAUUCGGCGCCUUACGGGAACAG
rnacentral:rRNA from 1 species